UGUGAAAUACAAAUCGGACUAGGAGAUAGCUGGUUUUCUGCGAAAUUUGUUGAAGCAAACAAUUUAUAAAAGUUCUUAGAGUGUAUAGCACUGGAUAUCCGUAAUGAAGAAGGGAGUACGAGAGUAUUUAUCUUGGAUAUUUAAUCUCAGAAGCACUAAGAAAGUUUCAUAAAUAGUGGGACUUUUCGCGAUAAGGGGGGAAGUCAAGAGGGAAACAGCCCAGAACAGUUAGGAAAGCUCCCCAAUUAAUAUUAAGUGAA
rnacentral:rRNA from 1 species